UACGUAGGUGACCAGCGUUGUCCGGAUUUACUGGGCGUAAAGAGCGCGCAGGCGGUCGUUCAAGUCGAGUGUGAAAGCCCCCAGCUCAACUGGGGAGGGUCACUCGAUACUGAUCGACUUGAAGGCAGGAGAGGGAAGCGGAAUUCCCGGUGUAGUGGUGAAAUGCGUAGAUAUCGGGAGGAACACCAGUGGCGAAGGCGGCUUCCUGGCCUGUUCUUGACGCUGAGGCGCGAAAGCUAGGGGAGCAAACGGG
rnacentral:rRNA from 1 species